rnacentral:rRNA from 1 species
AGCGAACGCUGGCGGCAGGCCUAACACAUGCAAGUCGAACGAACCUUUCGGGGUUAGUGGCGGACGGGUGAGUAACACGUGGGAACGUGCCUUUAGGUUCGGAAUAACUCAGGGAAACUUGUGCUAAUACCGAAUGUGCCCUUCGGGGGAAAGAUUAAUCGCCUUUAGAGCGGCCCGCGUCUGAUUAGCUAGUUGGUUGAGGUAAUGGCUCACCAAGGCGACGAUCAGUAGCUGGUCUGAGAGGAUGAUCAGCCACAUUGCGACUGAGACACGGCCCAAACUCCUACGGGAGGCAGCAGUGGGGAAUCUUGCGCAAUGGGCGAAAGCCUGACGCAGCCAUGCCGCGUGAAUGAUGAAGGUCUUAGGAUUGUAAAAUUCUUUCACCGGGGACGAUAAUGACGGUACCCGGAGAAGAAGCCCCGGCUAACUUCGUG